rnacentral:rRNA from 1 species
UACGUAGGGUGCGAGCGUUGUCCGGAAUUAUUGGGCGUAAAGGGCUCGUAGGCGGUUUGUCGCGUCGGGAGUGAAAACACUGGGCUUAACUCAGUGCUUGCUUCCGAUACGGGCAGACUAGAGGUAUUCAGGGGAGAACGGAAUUCCUGGUGUAGCGGUGAAAUGCGCAGAUAUCAGGAGGAACACCGGUGGCGAAGGCGGUUCUCUGGGCCUUACCUGACGCUGAGGAGCGAAAGCGUGGGGAGCGAACAGG